ACGGAGGGUCCGAGCGUUAAUCGGAAUUACUGGGCGUAAAGCGCGCGUAGGCGGUUAGAUCAGUCAAGUGUGAAAGCCCCGGGCUCAACCUGGGAACUGCAUUCGAUACUGUCUGACUGGAGUAUGGGAGAGGGCAGUGGAAUUCCAUGUGUAGCGGUGAAAUGCGUAGAUAUGUGGAGGAACACCAGUGGCGAAGGCGACUGCCUGGCCCAAUACUGACGCUGAGGUGCGAAAGCGUGGGGAGCGAACAGG
rnacentral:rRNA from 1 species